GCGCAGCCCGCCCCGGCUGAGCCGUGCCUCUCUGUCCUGCAGGUGCGACCAUGGCCAAGUCCAAGAACCACACCACGCACAACCAGUCCCGUAAGUGGCACAGAAAUGGCAUCAAGAAACCCAGAUCCCAUAGAUAUGAAUCUCUCAAAGGGGUUGAUCCCAAGUUCUUGAGGAACAUGAGAUUUGCAAAGAAACACAACAAAAAGGGGCUGAAGAAGAUGCAGGCGAACAAUGCCAAGCAGGCUGCUCAACAGAAAAAGGACUGACGUGGUUUAAGACAAAGAACCAGUUUUCCCAUUGGCAUGCGUGUUACAGCAUUUUUGUAAAAAAUAAAAUUGGAUGUAACAAA